GUUUGACCUGCUUCGGAGAAAAGUGCUGGAAUGGCAAUGUGAGGAGGACAGGAUGCCUGGAGAACCCGUGUUUGUGAAGGACCCCAACGGCACAAGCGAGGAUGAUGGUGUGAUUCUAUGUCCAGUUCUGGCCCUCACUACGGCCAAGCCGUCCUACCUGGUGGUGCUAGAUGCUUCCAACUUUACAGAGCUCGGACGAGCCACUGUCCCUGCCAACAUCAAGAUGAACAUCACGUUCCACGGCCAGUUCUGCAAAAGACAGUCUUAGAACACCUCAGAGUUUAAACUACAUUUUAGAAGAUUUUAAAAAAAAUGAUGAACUCUUACUACUCCUUCUUCCCAUCCCCCUCUCUUCCAAGCCAACUCUUGCGUCAAUUAUGCCAUACCACAGACAGUAUCUUGACAGGAUAAUGAAUAAAAAUGUCAAAAUAAUCCGCAAA